AUCAUUCCCUUUAGUUUAUAAUCCACCCUCAAUAGCGUUACUUUUAAUUAUCAUAUGAUUGAUGUUUUCAAAAUGUCAUGUUUUUGAGCUAAUAUUAUCAGCUGAAACUUGAGAAGAGCCUAUCCAGGCCUAUUAUUUAAUGCCGAAGAUACUAUACUAUAUAAGAGUAUUCACAUUUUCGUUAACACGAGAAUAUAACUUCACUCACGUGCCUUUUAGAAGCUGUUCGUAACUUAUCGUGAAGUGUUAUCGUUUUUACUUCCAUAAGAUUCGUAGGACAGAUUCAAUUUUUAUUGAUGAACAUAUUUUUUUUAAGAUUUAGUGCCUUAAUCCUGAUCAAACAUUACGACGGGAUUCUAAAUUCGCGUCCAGGCAGCCGAAGUAAUUUUGACUUUUCGGGGAUGCUUAAUAAUCAACACCCAAUUUCCUUGCGACAUUUAAUGGAAGAGAAUUAAUUCUAACCAGAUUUUCAAAUUCGGGUAUUGUCUACCGUUUUGAACAAAUUCACGUUUUGGCUUCGUAUUUUCACAUUUUUGAUGGCCGCAAACGAGUUUUAAAUCAUACAUAAUGUUAACCCAAAAAGUUUAUUCGUCAAUAAUUGGUUAGAUAAUUUUACACCGAUUCAAUGAGCCUCGCAUGCGUUUGAUGGAAAGACAACUGACAGACUUUUCUGAACCUAGGAUUUGACUGUAACUUGUAAAUUUUGUAAAAAAUAUAAAUCUCUCGUGCUCGGCAGAAUUUUAGUUGAAUAACCAAUUCAGCUCGGUACCUGUAAACCCACAUUGGAAUAAUCAUGAUGUACUUCUUCAGAGUGAACUUUGUAAUGUAUCACAUGUUCGGCUGUCCGUUAAGCUUACGUACGUACACUCAAAGAAAUGACGAGAACUUUGUCCAGAUAGCGAUGCACAUUUUGCCCUAGAUAAGACAUCCUGACUCUUCUUGGGUGAAGAUGGCCGUAGUGGAAGAGAGCGAAGGAUAACUCGACUCUCACCUCAGGCUAUGGAUAAGAAAGUGUCACUAACUUGGACUAUAUGACAUAUUUUUCAGAGUGUCUACAAAUGAUUGUGUCUGUGAUAAUAACUCUUUAUUUAUAAUAACUCCAGGAUCAGUUGCUGUUUCAUCCGUAACAAAGAAGCCGCAGAAUGCAAAUCGACAAAAUUUUUCCAGGCACACGAUGUAAGCGUGACUUGCAAUCAGAGCUUUUAUUCUAGUCUAAUAGCGGCACCCCAAAGGCAUUACUGUAACCUGGCGCCCUCAAUUACUCUGCAUCGUGUACUUACCGUAAAUGUAUUACUCAAGCAUAUAUUAGUCUAUAGAUUAAGGUUGAAUGCCGACGUCACAAAUGAUAAUUCAAUUAAAGACGCUUGUUCGCA